CUUGAGGAAUAGAACCUGGCUCCCUUCUAUCCAUAUGAAUCUCUUUAGCAAAAGGUCAACAGGCUGCAUCCUUGGCUUCUUCUGAACAUACUUUUUAUUAUUAUCUCCCACAUGGCCAGGCUGUACGUUUUUCCAAUUUUUUCACUCUGUUUCCCUUUUCUCUAGCAGUUCACCAUAAGAAGUUAGAAGUAAUCAUGAAGCAGCCUGAGCAUUUUGCUG
rnacentral:lncRNA from 10 species